rnacentral:rRNA from 1 species
GUCUAUGGCCAUGCUACCUUGAACAAGCCCGAUCCCGUCUGAUCUUGGAAGCUAAGCAGGGUCAGGCCCGGUUAGUAUUUGGAUGGGAGACCACCUAUGAAGACCAGGUGCUGUAGAUG